GGCUUGUAAGUCAUAUNUGAAAUACCGAUGCUNAACAUNGGGGCUGCAUAAGAAACUACANGCCUAGAGUACAGGAGAGGUAAGCGGAAUUCCUAGNGUAGCGGUGAAAUGCGUAGAUAUUAGGAGGAACACCAGUGGCGANGGCGGCUUGCUGNGCUUUUACNGACGCUGAGGCUNGAAAGCGUGGGGAGCAAACAGGAUUAGAUACCCUGGUAGUCCACGCCGUAAACGAUGAUUACUAGGUGUGGGAGGUAACCCUUCCGUGCCGGAGUUAACACAUUAAGUAAUCCACCUGGGGAGUACGUUCGCAAGAAUGAAACUCAAAGNNNNNNNNCGGGGGCCCGCACAAGCAGUGGAGUAUGUGGUUUAAUUCGACGCAACGCGAAGAACCUUACCAGGUCUUGACAUCCCUUGACGACUCUAGAGAUAGAGAGUUCCUUUCGGGGACAAGGAGACAGGUGGUGCAUGGUUGUCGUCAGCUCGUGUCGUGAGAUGUUGGGUUAAGUCCCGCAACGAGCGCAACCCUUANGGAUAGUUGCUACNCAAGANCACUCUAUUCGGACUNCCGUUGAUAAAACGGAGGAAGGCGGGGACGACGUCAAAUCAUCAUNCCCCUUAUGNCCUGGNCUNCACACGUACUACAAUGGCUGUAAACAAAGAGAAGCAAAACUGCGAAGUGGANCAAAUCUCAAAAGACAGUCUCAGUUCGGAUUGUAGGCUACAACUCGCCUACAUGAAGCUGAAAUUGCUAGUAAUCGCGGAUCANCAUGCCGCGGUGAAUACGUUCCCGGNNCCUUGUACACACCGCCCGUCAUCUUGCUGAAAAA
rnacentral:rRNA from 1 species